GUGAUAAACGUCACUUCUCCAGCUUGCUAAACUCUGGAGUUUGUGCUGCCAUGCUGCGCUAUUGCUCCAAGAUGUCCUGAGGUGCCUUGCCUAUGUACAGCCCUUCUGUUUGCCUUUAAAAAAGGUAUGAGAAAACAAAGAAAAAUACUAAUUUUUGAAGGUGCAAGAUGUAUGUAUGCAGCCAUGGUUCCUGAGCAUUGUGUCUGCAUUUCCUGUGCAAAGCGCGUGCAGGAGGUGUGGGCAGAGCACAGCCUGCUUGCCGUAGGUCACAUCAGCACCCAAAAACCCGUGUACAGAGAAGCCGAAAUAGGAGAAAGGGGACGGCAGUCUGGUGCCCUGGCAGACAAAACUACGCCAACACCAGUGACCACAGGCAGGACUAGGGACGUCUGCUGAGAGCAGGGCUGGAAGGCGACGGCAGAUGUCAAGUCAUUCCCAAAGCAGAACAGCUGGUGUUGCACCAUCACCAUACAGCGUCACUGCACCUCUCCUGUUGGCUGCUCACCAGCACAUCAGGGGCAGAGAGCUGCUGAAGGCGAGACCUGGGUCCCAUGUCACGCAGCACAAGGUCAGGGAGGGUGUCUGUGUCAUACAUACCUGGCUUCUAACUCAGGGCUUCACAAAAGCUCCAGCCGUCAGAGACCAGAGAUACCGUGCCAGAAAUCAGAAGUGCUCUCCCCUCGCCUACAACACCAAGCCAGAGCCCAGGCUGAACUAGGAGGGAUGUGCCUGGAGGGGGGCUACAGCUCCUCUGCCUCUGCAGUGCCCACACCUUCGUUGCACAUUGGCAAGUUGUCCAAGGAUCAAGCUCCCCUCGCCAAGUGCAGCAUUGCAGCGGAGCAUAUCUCCAUCCAGAGGAGUGACCUUCGAUUCCCAGGGGUCUUUGUCUUAAUGAGGACUGUGCAUGGAGGCAGCUGAAGCCAACUAUAAUCUCCUCUUUCAAUACAGCAUGCAAAUGGAAAUAAAGCUAGUAGAAUAGCACA